UACCUCGAAAAUCCGCUGGGGACUGGUCCCAAAACAGAGCAAAUUUCCAUAGACGCCCAUGUUAAAAUGUCCGUUUUCACGGCGUAAAUUCGUGUUUUUAAAGCCUGGUCCCAUGGACUUUUAUUGUAUUUUUCGGUAGUUUCCCGGUCCCUGACAACUGUGAGGGGGGUGAUUUUUUUUCUAACUCGUUAGUUUGGAUCGCAUUUGGAUAUAAAAAAUGAAUGACGUCGUCAACUUGAUUGACAGCUGGCCAAUGUCGAGGUUGACGUUGCCAGCCGAGUGGACGUCUCAGCCGUGAUCCUGAAUCUUCAUCACCGUAUCCUCUCUGAACAUUUUUAUUGAAAUAUCUCUGCUAUUAACUGUACUAACCGACACCAGAAGAGGACAUCACUCUAGUUUUCCGUUUCUCUUUAGGUGAUCCAGCCAGGCUGAACCAGUGGGUGCUGAACAUGAGGAGCUGACUCCUAACAGUUCUCGACCAGUGACAACUUUCAAAGACUCUUCACCAGCAGACCCCUCCAUGAUUACCUUAUUUACAUCUGAGUUUGCAAAGCAGUCUAUAUACUGACUAUUUACUAGCUUACAACAUUGUGUUAUUUACCUGUAAUGCUCAAGACAUAAGUAAAAAUGCAAAUGUA